UUAAGCGACUAAGCGUACACGGUGGAUGCCCUGGCAGUCAGAGGCGAUGAAGGACGUGCUAAUCUGCGAUAAGCGUCGGUAAGGUGAUAUGAACCGUUAUAACCGGCGAUUUCCGAAUGGGGAAACCCAGUGUGUUUCGACACACUAUCAUUAACUGAAUCCAUAGGUUAAUGAGGCGAACCGGGGGAACUGAAACAUCUAAGUACCCCGAGGAAAAGAAAUCAACCGAGAUUCCCCCAGUAGCGGCGAGCGAACGGGGAGCAGCCCAGAGCCUGAAUCAGUGUGUGUGUUAGUGGAAGCGUCUGGAAAGGCGCGCGAUACAGGGUGACAGCCCCGUACACAAAAAUGCACAUGCUGUGAGCUCGAUGAGUAGGGCGGGACACGUGGUAUCCUGUCUGAAUAUGGGGGGACCAUCCUCCAAGGCUAAAUACUCCUGACUGACCGAUAGUGAACCAGUACCGUGAGGGAAAGGCGAAAAGAACCCCGGCGAGGGGAGUGAAAAAGAACCUGAAACCGUGUACGUACAAGCAGUGGGAGCACGCUUAGGCGUGUGACUGCGUACCUUUUGUAUAAUGGGUCAGCGACUUAUAUUCUGUAGCAAGGUUAACCGAAUAGGGGAGCCGAAGGGAAACCGAGUCUUAACUGGGCGUUAAGUUGCAGGGUAUAGACCCGAAACCCGGUGAUCUAGCCAUGGGCAGGUUGAAGGUUGGGUAACACUAACUGGAGGACCGAACCGACUAAUGUUGAAAAAUUAGCGGAUGACUUGUGGCUGGGGGUGAAAGGCCAAUCAAACCGGGAGAUAGCUGGUUCUCCCCGAAAGCUAUUUAGGUAGCGCCUCGUGAAUUCAUCUCCGGGGGUAGAGCACUGUUUCGGCAAGGGGGUCAUCCCGACUUACCAACCCGAUGCAAACUGCGAAUACCGGAGAAUGUUAUCACGGGAGACACACGGCGGGUGCUAACGUCCGUCGUGAAGAGGGAAACAACCCAGACCGCCAGCUAAGGUCCCAAAGUCAUGGUUAAGUGGGAAACGAUGUGGGAAGGCCCAGACAGCCAGGAUGUUGGCUUAGAAGCAGCCAUCAUUUAAAGAAAGCGUAAUAGCUCACUGGUCGAGUCGGCCUGCGCGGAAGAUGUAACGGGGCUAAACCAUGCACCGAAGCUGCGGCAGCGACACUAUGUGUUGUUGGGUAGGGGAGCGUUCUGUAAGCCUGUGAAGGUGUGCUGUGAGGCAUGCUGGAGGUAUCAGAAGUGCGAAUGCUGACAUAAGUAACGAUAAAGCGGGUGAAAAGCCCGCUCGCCGGAAGACCAAGGGUUCCUGUCCAACGUUAAUCGGGGCAGGGUGAGUCGACCCCUAAGGCGAGGCCGAAAGGCGUAGUCGAUGGGAAACAGGUUAAUAUUCCUGUACUUGGUGUUACUGCGAAGGGGGGACGGAGAAGGCUAUGUUGGCCGGGCGACGGUUGUCCCGGUUUAAGCGUGUAGGCUGGUUUUCCAGGCAAAUCCGGAAAAUCAAGGCUGAGGCGUGAUGACGAGGCACUACGGUGCUGAAGCAACAAAUGCCCUGCUUCCAGGAAAAGCCUCUAAGCAUCAGGUAACAUCAAAUCGUACCCCAAACCGACACAGGUGGUCAGGUAGAGAAUACCAAGGCGCUUGAGAGAACUCGGGUGAAGGAACUAGGCAAAAUGGUGCCGUAACUUCGGGAGAAGGCACGCUGAUAUGUAGGUGAAGUCCCUCGCGGAUGGAGCUGAAAUCAGUCGAAGAUACCAGCUGGCUGCAACUGUUUAUUAAAAACACAGCACUGUGCAAACACGAAAGUGGACGUAUACGGUGUGACGCCUGCCCGGUGCCGGAAGGUUAAUUGAUGGGGUUAGCCGCAAGGCGAAGCUCUUGAUCGAAGCCCCGGUAAACGGCGGCCGUAACUAUAACGGUCCUAAGGUAGCGAAAUUCCUUGUCGGGUAAGUUCCGACCUGCACGAAUGGCGUAAUGAUGGCCAGGCUGUCUCCACCCGAGACUCAGUGAAAUUGAACUCGCUGUGAAGAUGCAGUGUACCCGCGGCAAGACGGAAAGACCCCGUGAACCUUUACUAUAGCUUGACACUGAACAUUGAGCCUUGAUGUGUAGGAUAGGUGGGAGGCUUUGAAGUGUGGACGCCAGUCUGCAUGGAGCCGACCUUGAAAUACCACCCUUUAAUGUUUGAUGUUCUAACGUUGACCCGUAAUCCGGGUUGCGGACAGUGUCUGGUGGGUAGUUUGACUGGGGCGGUCUCCUCCUAAAGAGUAACGGAGGAGCACGAAGGUUGGCUAAUCCUGGUCGGACAUCAGGAGGUUAGUGCAAUGGCAUAAGCCAGCUUGACUGCGAGCGUGACGGCGCGAGCAGGUGCGAAAGCAGGUCAUAGUGAUCCGGUGGUUCUGAAUGGAAGGGCCAUCGCUCAACGGAUAAAAGGUACUCCGGGGAUAACAGGCUGAUACCGCCCAAGAGUUCAUAUCGACGGCGGUGUUUGGCACCUCGAUGUCGGCUCAUCACAUCCUGGGGCUGAAGUAGGUCCCAAGGGUAUGGCUGUUCGCCAUUUAAAGUGGUACGCGAGCUGGGUUUAGAACGUCGUGAGACAGUUCGGUCCCUAUCUGCCGUGGGCGCUGGAGAACUGAGGGGGGCUGCUCCUAGUACGAGAGGACCGGAGUGGACGCAUCACUGGUGUUCGGGUUGUCAUGCCAAUGGCACUGCCCGGUAGCUAAAUGCGGAAGAGAUAAGUGCUGAAAGCAUCUAAGCACGAAACUUGCCCCGAGAUGAGUUCUCCCUGACUCCUUGAGAGUCCUGAAGGAACGUUGAAGACGACGACGUUGAUAGGCCGGGUGUGUAAGCGCAGCGAUGCGUUGAGCUAACCGGUACUAAUGAACCGUGAGGCUUAACCUU
rnacentral:rRNA from 3 species